CAUAUGUGACAGUGGAAAAAGCAGCUUCGUUUAUUAUUUUGGACUUUAAUACAAAAUUCUCAAUUGUGAUAUUUUAGACUUUAAUUCUCUGUGUUUUAUAAUUCAUUUUAUUUUAUAAUUUCGUUUCUUUUUACAUUUCGUAUCCAGGACUUAAAAUCAACAUGCUUUUUAAUUCUUAGUUUGGACAUUGAGUGACAUGUUUCAAUCUG
rnacentral:lncRNA from 1 species